UUUCAGAAAUUCUGUGCUGGGUGGCACAGCCAAUUUGAACCCGAGAGCCAGGUGGAAGUUUGCAGUACCGGGCGGUGCCGCCCACUGGAGCCGCCCGCCAU